rnacentral:rRNA from 1 species
GACGAACGCUGGCGGCGUGCUUAACACAUGCAAGUCGAACGGAAAGGCCCUGCUUUUGUGGGGUGCUCGAGUGGCGAACGGGUGAGUAACACGUGAGUAACCUGCCCUUGACUUUGGGAUAACUUCAGUAAACUGGGGCUAAUACCGGAUAGGAGCUCCUGCUGCAUGGUGUGGGCUGGAAAGUUUCGGCGGUUGGGGAUGGACUCGCGGCUUAUCAGCCUGUUGGUGGGGUAGUGGCGUACGAGGGCUUUGAAGGGUAGCCGUCCUGGGAGGGUGACCGGCCACAUUGGGACAGAGAUGCAGCCCAGACUGCUACGGGAGGCAACGAUGGGAAAUAUUGCACAAUAGGCGGAGGCCUGAGGCAACGACGCCGCGUGGGGGAUGACGGCUUUCGGGUUGUAAACCGAUUUAGCGUGUGACGAAGAGUGAGUGACGGUAAUGGGUAAAGAAGCGCCGGCUAACUACGUG